rnacentral:rRNA from 1 species
UGGGGAAUAUUGGACAAUGGGCGCAAGCCUGAUCCAGCCACGCCGCGUGAGUGAUGAAGGCCUUCGGGUUGUAAAGCUCUGUGGGGAGGGACGAAAACGGCGCUCAAGAAACGGGGCGUCCUUGACGGUACCUCCUUAGCAAGCACCGGCUAACUCUGUGCCAGCAGCCGCGGUAAUACAGAGGGUGCGAACGUUGCUCGGAAUUACUGGGCGUAAAGCGCGUGUAGGCGGGUCGGCAAGUCAGGCGUGAAAUCCCCAGGCUCAACCUGGGAACUGCGCUUGAAACUGCCGGUCUUGAGUAUCGGAGAGGGUGGCGGAAUUCCUGGUGUAGAGGUGAAAUUCGUAGAUAUCAGGAGGAACACCGGUGGCGAAGGCGGCCACCUGGACGAUUACUGACGCUGAGACGCGAAAGCGUGGGGAGCAAACAGG